rnacentral:lncRNA from 1 species
CGGCUGGGAAGCGCGACCGUUAGGAAAUGGCCGUUGGGUCCCCGCGAGGGGCCGGGGCGCUGCCCGAGCUCCCUCAGGCCGGCUGGGCCCCAGAGGCUGCCUUUUCAUCUCUCUGCCCCCCACAUCACCCCCCUGGAGCGGUGUUUUCCAACCGCUUUUCAUUUAAGGGCGCUUUAAACGUUUUCCAGGGUGGGAGUGGCUGCAGCGCGCAGCUUUGCUGCUCYGCUCUCCGGGGCACUCGGCCUCGUCGGCUUGAGAGGAGCCGAGUGCGUCCACUUUAGCACCUCUUAUGGCACGUUAGCCCUCUGCAAGAGACACUGGUUUUGACACUUCUGCGAGCUGCAAAGAUGAACUGAAUGAGGUGAAGCUCGGCUGCCGCUUUCGGAAGAGCCCUCAGGCCUCGGCUCCGCAGAGGCUGGCAGUGGGCUCUGCGACGCGAAGCGCUUCACAAAAACAAAACCAACAGGUGUCCUUCAUGCCCGCGCGUGGCACGUUUCAGUAGAUUUACUUAUUUCAAACUAUCUUAAAAAGAACUUUGUCAGAUCCCUUCUGUUUCCUGUCGUGUGGGUGAAGGAGCUCGGAGGUCCGUUGCGGGGAAGCAGCUGCCUGGGGCUUGGCAAGGAGGUGUCAGCCCUAUCUCCUGGCCGUGUUUCCCUAUCGCGUUCUGGAUGUGCCACCCUCGGGGCAAUAGUGGCGCCUCGGCUGAGCGCCAGCAGUGUGCGAGGUGAUAAAUCCAAGCUAGAGCAGGCGCCACAUAAGAAGGCAUCGCAGCACGCUGUGCGCCUGGGACGCCGAGCCCCAACGAUGCAGCCCUUCCAGCGUGCCCACCUGCUCCUCCUGCUCGCUCUGCUCACCCUCUGCUUGCCCCUCACCUGGGUGGUCGCGACUACAGAGCCCACAACCACCUCCCACGGCGAACCCAUCAGCCUGGCCACCUCAUGCUGCGGCCCAGCCUUCACCUCCCUCGCGCUGGGCCUGGCCGCGGCUUUCCUCCUCCGGCUGUGCUGAGUCUCGGGGCUGACGGCACCCAGGCGCCCUGGCCCCGCGGAGACACUCCCAGGACGGCGGCCCUGGGCCCUCCUUGGACACUUGCAGCAAGGACCGGCCAGCAUGACGCCAUCGCUCCCGCCUGCAAGUCCCUCUCCCCGGCCAGCCGGCUGCUCCAUGCUCACUCCCCGGGCCCCAAGCGGCCCCUCCAGCCCCCCGUGCCGCGCUCCGGCUCCCCUGCGCCAGGGUGACGAUGCCAGCCGAAGGCAGCCGUGCCGGCGGGACGGACCCAUGACGCUUCGCAACGUGACGGCGAAGGUGCCCCGGCUCGGCACACUCCUGGCUCGGGAGCGGGCGUGCUGCCGAGGCUUUGAGAAAUAAAACACUGGCAUAGCGGCUGCGGUCUGCCUCG